rnacentral:lncRNA from 1 species
GACAAAAUGAAGAGGAGCUGUCCACAGUCAGGAGUGAGUUAACUCAGUCUCAAACCCAGGGCUCCAACAGUAACUUGAAGGAUGACUUACUCAGAGAAAAGGAGACUGAAGUUCAAAGCUUAAAGCAAAAUCUUUCAGAAAUAGAACAGCUCAAUGAACAUUUAAAGCAAGUUGCUUUUGAUCUCAGAAUAGAAAAUGAAAAGUUGGUUGUAGCAUGUGAAGAUGUGAGAAAUCAGCUGGAAGAAUCUGUUGCCGGCAACAACCAGAUUUCUCU